rnacentral:lncRNA from 1 species
GUCUGGAGUGCAUCUUCAUAGUUUUCUCAAAAUAAAGUGCCAAUCAGCAGGUUACUAUGGAAACUGGGCAAGAUGCGACUGCAUGUUGGCGGCAGCGACCACUUGGGUGUAGACGCGCUGGUGGAGGGAGAACAUUUCCCACCUCCCCUGGAUAUUCAUCUUAUCACGAACUUCAGUACAUUAAGGGUACCUUUGACGUGGGUCCAAUUUAGAGCCAUGGCUAUGCAUGACUCCAACACUGGCCAAGGACAGCAUAAGGUUGUCUUGAAGAGGAAACUGACAGGUCCACCAAGACUUCUCCUUGGCAAAACCAAGACCGUGAACCAAACCGGAGAGAGGUCAGACGCACGAGUACUGAGACACCAAAGAAGAAUGGACAUCAAUGGAACACCAAAGGACUCCACUCCUCAGACAUCCCAGGACACCUUGGGUGAGGAAGGUAGAACGUUGGUGCUGGCCCCUGAACAUCUUCAAACAAAUAUAAAGGAGGAAACUGAAGGAAGCCACCAUACAAGGCUCCAAAAUGACUGUUCUGCCUGUGAUGAGGAAGACGCAGUGAAGGAGCAACAUGUUGAUGUCAGCAGGAAGACAAAAAAGACCACUAAAGAGGGAUUGGGAUUAAAGAGGCUUUUUCCGCAUGUGUUUGGGUGUGUCAGGAAGAAGCGAGACAAACAUGGUGACAUUGAGAUUAAAAAGGAGAACGCAAUGACUCUACAGUCUAUGGAAUGUACCGGUGAUGACACACCAGGUGCCACGUGUCACUCUGCCCCAUCUGGAACUAGGAUAGAGAAGAGGAGGAUCAAAACAUUUUGGUUCCCAUUAGUUGGCUGCCGUGCAGAUAAAGGCAGAUGCCUGAACAAGUCACAGUCAUUAUCAAAAGACCCAGAGGCACGAACAAAAACACUUCGAAAAAGGAUUCAAGGUUUCUUGACCAGACGAAAGAAGACAGUCUCCUCUAACCAGUUUGAAUGUGGCAGCACACAGACCACACAGCCUGAGCGUGUAGAAGGACAGGUAGACAGCCAUUUGGCAUAUAAUGAGGACCUGCCCAGAAUCCAUGAGGAAGACAUCCCAGAAGGAGAUGGUGAUGGGCAGGUGGGGUGCCCAGAGAGCAUGACUAUUAGUGCUGAGGUGACCUCCGCCAGUGCAAAAUAUACUGAGUGUGAAAUGACUAUUAGUGCUGAGGUGACCUCCGCCAGUGCAAAAUAUACUGAGUGUGAAUCCAAAGAAGAUACCAGUGAAGCUAGCUGCGAGAUCUCAGGGGAUUUGACCUCAAGGGAGGAUGAAAACAAGCUGGAGAACUGUGUAUAUACACAGGAGCCUCCCGAGCUGGAUCUGAAAGAGUCCACAGGCCUCUCUGACGGUGUUGCCACCUUGACCUGUGUUGUUGAGUUGGACUCAGGCUUCAGACCACAGAUUGAUAUUGCCAUGGCCAUGGAUGAGGUGUUCGAGAAUGGGCCAGAUGAAAUUAAACUGUUUGAGAACACAAACAACACGACGGGACCUGACUGUGACAGCCUUGCACCUUGCAAGAACCCCAGCAACAUGUCUUUUCUGACUGUGCCAGUGGAUGGUUGCUGGAGUCCGUGUGAGGCUAACAGCACAGACGUGAAACCCUGUUGCAACACAUUUGAUUACAGCCUGCCACCUGAAGACACAAGCCUGGUAAGUGGUGAGAGCCUACUGGUACUCACCGCUAACUCCCUGGUACGAGCCGCCAUCAAAAGUGCCCUGUGUCAGCUCUCAAGGGAAAUACAGCCUCCCCUAACAAACUGCCACAGAGAUGAAUGUGCACACGUGGAAGAGGUCUGAGUUACAGUUAGUUUAUGGAUAUGGAUAUUUUGGAUAUAUAUUACAUAUCCAGAGAUAUGUUUUCCUUACCUUGUGGAAUUGAUAUGGGAUCCCUUUGUGUAUGUGUCAUUUUACAGCCCUGUGGAUCUAGAUGUGUACUGAUCACAUUUAUUGUGCUAAACACUCGUAGAAAGAAUAAAUAACGUGUUUUUUUUGUUUUCGCCCA